GACGAACGCUGGCGGCGUGCUUAACACAUGCAAGUCGAGCGGUAAGGCCCUUUCGGGGGGUACACGAGCGGCGAACGGGUGAGUAACACGUGGGUGACCUGCCCUCAGCUCUGGGAUAAGCCUGGGAAACUGGGUCUAAUACUGGAUAUGACUCCACGGUGCAUGUCGUGGGGUGGAAAGCCUUGUGCGGCUGAGGAUGGGCCCGCGGCCUAUCAGCUUGUUGGUGGGGUGANGGCCUACCAAGGCGACGACGGGUAGCCGGCCUGAGAGGGCGACCGGCCACACUGGGACUGAGGCACGGCCCAGACUCCUACGGGAGGCAGCAGUGGGGAAUCUUGCGCAAUGGGCGAAAGCCUGACGCAGCGACGCCGCGUGAGGGAUGACGGCCU
rnacentral:rRNA from 1 species